rnacentral:lncRNA from 1 species
UUUAAUUAUGAUACUUGUCAUGAAAAUCGUUUUGAUCAUUUAUUAAGAUAAUUGAUGGCUGAGAUUGUUUGGAGAUAUUUUUGGUUAUGAUAGCAAAAAUUUUGAGCUCAUAAGGUUAUACACAUUUAUAAGGUAACAUAUGUAGCCCAAUUGAAAGAUUGUUUGAAAAUUAUUAAUUUGUCAUGUGAGCCUACAAAUGUAAUUAAUUGUUUAUAAAUAUGCUAUCUUGAAGUUAAGCCCAAAAUUAAAGCGAUCUAAUAAAGAAUUAAAUAAUUGGACUUAGGGCAUCUAAAUAAAGUGUAGACCAAAUUAUUUGUGUAGAGAUCAAAUUUCUUUAGAAUUUUAUUUCAUGAUGGACGAAAUACAUAGGGAAACUAUAUAUAAAGUUAUGGUCUCCAAUUCAUAGGUAAUUUUUCAUUUUUCGUGUUAUCCCAUCAACACAAGAACUAAAAAUGAAAACAUAUUGAAGAGAAAGAUCAAAGCCCACAAUCAAGAAUCAAAUCACAGAACAAGACAAUCAAUAUUAUGGAAUAAGAAGUCAAAAUCAAGAUCAAGAACUCAAGAAUCAAUAUUUUGUCCUCACCAUUCAUUUUUUGUUAAGCAUGCUUGGCGCUCAAUUGCAAGCUAGAAGUUUACAACUCGCAUUAAAGUUUCUCCAGUUUGAUUAAUAAUUUAGUCUUUAAUUGGGCGCUACAAUUUAUUAACAACUGUACAUAAAAU